GGUAGACUUAUCUUAUCAAUUUGUCUUUUAUCACUAAUGUAAAUUUUGUUUAUUAUGAGUAAUCAAGCAUCACCUAAAUCGAGUUUUUUUGUGUAAGUCAGAAAAGAAUGAAGCACGUUGUCUUAUUUUUUUGUUUUGGUAGUUUGCUAUCAGUUUCUGAUCAAAUUUCAUCCUACAUUCCUUCGAAUUUAUUGAAAUGUUAUCAAUCGAGUUACGCAGAAAAUUUUCCAAAGCCUCCAUUAACUAUUCAAACUUUUAUAGAACUUAUUAGAAAAUUAGAAUUUGACGAAGGAAAUACGUUAAACAUGAGAGUACUAUCAAAUGCAUUGCUUCAUAGAUGCAUACUCAUUUAAAUAAAUGUUUACGAAUAGUUAUUGUUGUAUAUACAAUUUACAUGUACAUAAUUUACAUAUUAUUUUAUUAGUCACUCGUAUUAAAAAUAACUUACAACAACCAUAGGUGUAUGCA